UGCACAUUCAUGAUUGGCCUUAUAUGGGAAGAACAAUGAAGACAACCAUUGAAGUGUUGACUGUGUUCUGGUGGCUGCAAUUGGACUGGUUGAGUCUAGCAGAGAAUGUGAAGCAACACUCUUCUGUCCUGAAUAUCCAGGAGGGGGAUGAUGCUGUUAUCAACUGUUCUUAUUCAGACAGUGCCUCAUAUUAUUUCCUUUGGUAUAAGCAAGAACCUGGAAGAGGACCCCAGCUCAUUAUAGACAUUCGUUCAAAUAGUAACAGAAAUGAAGCAGGACGACUCACUGUUCUACUGAAUAAGGAGACCAAAGAUCUUUCCCUGUGCAUUGCAGCCACCCAGCCUGGGGACUCAGCUGUCUACUUUUGUGCAGCAAGCACACAUUGCUUCUCAGCCAUCUGAACCCUGUACUGAAAUGUGUGACAGGGAUGUCCUCCUUCUCCAACUCUAGCACUCACUGUAUUAUUUGUCUAUAAUUGAAACUAAUAUUUAGAGACUGAAGAUGCAUAGUAAGGUAUAUGAUCCAACCAGGGUUAAAACAUUUCUCUCAUUGACUUUCUUGAGGGGAUUUAGUUUUAUACUAUUUUGAAAGUUUGGCUUUAAAGAUGACUUGACAUUAGCUACUCAUAAG